GGGGCCUUAGCUCAGCUGGGAGAGCGCCUGCCUUGCAAGCAGGAGGUCGGCGGUUCGAUCCCGCUAGGCUCCACCU
rnacentral:tRNA from 1 species